rnacentral:rRNA from 1 species
CCUACGGGAGGCAGCAGUGAGGAAUAUUGGUCAAUGGCCGAGAGGCUGAACCAGCCAAGUCGCGUGAGGGAUGACGGCCCUACGGGUUGUAAACCUCUUUUGUCGGGGAGCAAAGCGAGUCACGUGUGGCUCAUUGAGAGUACCCGAAGAAAAAGCAUCGGCUAACUCCGUGCCAGCAGCCGCGGUAAUACGGAGGAUGCGAGCGUUAUCCGGAUUUAUUGGGUUUAAAGGGUGCGUAGGCGGGCUGUUAAGUCAGCGGUCAAAUGUCGGGGCUCAACCCCGGCCUGCCGUUGAAACUGGCGGCCUCGAGUGGGCGAGAAGUAGGCGGAAUGCGUGGUGUAGCGGUGAAAUGCAUAGAUAUCACGCAGAACUCCGAUUGCGAAGGCAGCAUACCGGCGCCCGACUGACGCUGAGGCACGAAAGCGUGGGUAUCGAACAGGAUUAGAUACCCUUGUAGUC